rnacentral:lncRNA from 1 species
AUGAUGUCACAAACUCAUCAAGACUGUGACUCAGUGAACCAUCUAGACAGAGGAUGAAAUGCAGUAGUUCACCAACAUGUUAUGUUUCUAUGAACAACCAGAUGCAAACGUCCUGGCAUUCAUCCUGCCUGCUUGCUGUUUGUACCAUCUCCGUGGUAGCAACCAUCCAAGCUGCUGGAAGCACAGACUGAGCUCUAUGAGUCAAUUAUUUUAUAUACCUGGGAACGUGCUAGCCUUCCUGUCACUCUUUGAUGUCACUAUGUAGACAGUUUGCAGCCUAGGCAACAUGCCCCUAAAGCACUGGAAAUGGUUGGCCCUGAAGUGCUCCUAAGGUAACCGCAAGAUGAGGCAAAACAGGAUUGAGAUGAAAACCAAGCUCACCCACAUCCUACGUCAAUUAGCUAUUUUUUUUUCUGUGUAAACAAUGGGAGGGAGGUGGAUUGUAGCUUUUAUGGUAGAGGUUCCUCGGCACCUCCUGACGCCCCCAGGGGUCCCCCCUGCCACUGCCCUCAGCCCAAAUAUAAGCUGACAACAAAA